rnacentral:rRNA from 1 species
GUGGGGAAUAUUGGGCAAUGGGGGAAACCCUGACCCAGCAACGCCGCGUGAGGGAAGAAGGUUUUCGGAUUGUAAACCUCUGUCCUUGGUGACGAAGGAAGUGACGGUAACCAAGGAGGAAGCCCCGGCUAACUACGUGCCAGCAGCCGCGGCAAUACGUAGGGGGCAAGCGUUGUCCGGAAUGACUGGGCGUAAAGGCCGUGUAGGCGGCCGAUUACGUCUGGAGUGAAAGUCCUGCUUUCAAGGUGGGAAUUGCUUUGGAGACUGGUUGGCUUGAGUGCGGAAGAGGUAAGUGGGAUUCCCAGUGGAGCGGUGAAAUGCGUAGAGAUUGGGGGGAACACCAGGGGCGAAGGCGAGUUACUGGGCCGUAACUGACGCUGGGGCGCGAAAGCGUGGGGAGCGAACAGGAUUAGAAACCCCUGUAGUCC